rnacentral:tRNA from 1 species
GCCCUGGUGGUCUAGUGGUUAAGAUUCAGUGCUCUCACUGCAGCAACCUGGGUUCCUUUCCCAGUCAGGGAA